rnacentral:rRNA from 1 species
UUAAAGUAGUAAGGGCGCAGGGUGGAUGCCUUGGCACUAAGAGCCGAUGAAAGACGUGAUAAGCUGCGAAAAGCUUCGGGGAGGAGCACAUAUCCAAUGAUCCGGAGAUAUCUGAAUGGGGAAACCCGGCAGAGGAAACCUCUGUCAGCAUGUAGUGAAUCCAUAGCUGCAUGUGGGGAACCCGGGGAACUGAAACAUCUAAGUACCCGGAGGAAGAGAAAGAAAAUUUAUCGAUUUCCAAAGUAGCGGCGAGCGAAAUGGAAGGAGCCCAAACCGUGGUGCGUGCAUCACGGGGUUCGGACUGCGACAUGAGAGACGUAAGAUAGGAGAACGGACUGGGAAGUCCGGCCGGAGAGAGUGAAAGCCUCGUAUCCGAAAUCCCAAGUCAUCUAGCAGGAUCCAGAGUAGGACGAGACACGAGAAACCUUGUCUGAAGGAGCGGGGACCACCCCGUAAGGCUAAAUACUUCUUAGUGACCGAUAGCGCAUAGUACUGUGAAGGAAAGGUGAAAAGUACCCCGGGAGGGGAGUGAAAGAGAACCUGAAACCCUGUGUCUACAAGCUGUGGGACCUCUUUAUAUGAGGGACUGCGUACUUUUUGUAGAACGGUCCGGCGAGUUGUGCGUACUGGCGAGGUUAAGGACUUAAGGUCCGGAGCCGAAGUGAAAGCAAGCGUUAAGAGCGCGGUAAGUCAGUGAGUGCAGACCCGAAACCGGGUGACCUAUCCAUGUCCAGGUUGAAGCUUCCGUAAGAGGAAGUGGAGGACCGAACCCACAUCCGUUGAAAAGGGUGGGGAUGAGGUGUGGAUAGCGGAGAAAUUCCAAUCGAACCCGGAGAUAGCUGGUUCUCCUCGAAAUAGCUUUAGGGCUAGCCUCAUGAGAGUCUUAUGGAGGUAGAGCACUGAAUUGCCUAGGGGGCGUCAAAGCUUACCAAAGCAUAUCAAACUCCGAAUGCCAUCAAGAUGAUUCAUGGGAGUCAGACCAUACGAGAUAAGUUGGAUGGUCAAAAGGGAAAGAGCCCAGACCUACAGCUAAGGUCCCAAAGUGCGUGUUAAGUGGAAAAGGAUGUGGGGAUUCUAAGACAACUAGGACGUUGGCUUAGAAGCAGCCAUUCAUUGAAAGAGUGCGUAAUAGCUCACUAGUCGAGAGUCCCUGCGCCGAAAAUGUCCGGGGCUGAAACACGACACCGAAGCUUAGGAAUGUGUAAACAUUGGUAGAGGAGCAUUGCUAGCGGGAUGAAGCCAUACCGAAAGGAGUGGUGGACUGCUAGGAAGAGAGAAUGCCGGAAUGAGUAGCGAGAUGAAGGUGAGAAUCCUUCAGGCCGAAUAUCUAAGGUUUCCAGAGUAAAGCUGAUCUGCUCUGGGUAAGUCGGGACCUAAGGCGAGGUCGAAAGACGUAGUCGAUGGAUAACAGGUUGAAAUUCCUGUACCGCAUAUAAACAGAACUGUGGGGACACAGACAGGGAAUGGAAUCCGGGAGUGGAGAUCCCGGUGCAAGCGAGGUAGGAGUGCUGUUGGCAAAUCCGCAGCACGAUCUGAAGACGUGACGCGUACCGAACAUAAGUAGGGAAGUCCAGGCCCCUGGCUGUCAAGAAAAGCCGCUAUUGUUUUAUAUGUGCCCGUACCGCAAACCGACACAGGUGGAUGAGGAGAGAAUCCUAAGGCCGACGGGAGAAGUAUUGUUAAGGAACUCGGCAAAAUGACUCCGUAACUUCGGGAGAAGGAGUGCCAUGAGAGUGGCCGCAGAGAAAUGGCCCAAGCAACUGUUUAGCAAAAACACAGGUCUAUGCAAAACCGCAAGGUGAAGUAUAUGGGCUGACGCCUGCCCGGUGCUGGAAGGUUAAGGGGAGAGGUUAGCGCAAGCGAAGCUUUGAACUUAAGCCCCAGUAAACGGCGGCCGUAACUAUAACGGUCCUAAGGUAGCGAAAUUCCUUGUCGGGUAAGUUCCGACCCGCACGAAAGGCGUAAUGAUUUGGGCACUGUCUCAACGAUACACCCGGUGAAAUUGAAAUACCAGUGAAGAUGCUGGUUACCUGCGCCAGGACGGAAAGACCCCAUGGAGCUUUACUCCAGUUU